rnacentral:rRNA from 1 species
GACGAACGCUGGCGGCGUGCUUAACACAUGCAAGUCGAACGGAAAGGCCCCUUUGGGGGUACUCGAGUGGCGAACGGGUGAGUAACACGUGAGUAACCUGCCCUUGACUUCGGGAUAACUUCAGGAAACUGGGGCUAAUACCGGAUAGGAAUCCUUGCUGCAUGGUGGGGGUUGGAAAGCUUCGGCGGUUUUGGAUGGACUCGCGGCUUAUCAGCUUGUUUGUGGGGUAGUGGCUUACCAAGGCUUUGACGGGUAGCCGGCCUGAGAGGGCGAACGGCCACAUUGGGACUGGGAUACGGCCCAGACUCCUACGGGAGGCAGCAGUGGGGAAUAUUGCACAAUGGGCGGAAGCCUGAUGCAGCAACGGCGCGGGCGGGAUGACGGCCUUCGGGUUGUAAACCGCUUUCAGCAGGGGCGAAGCUUGUGGUGACGGUACCUGCAGAAGAAGCACCGGCUAACUACGUG